CUGGCCCCAUCCUGUAGGCAAGGUCCUUGUCUCAGAGCCUCUGCCCACAGCCAGCUGUGGUGUGAGGGGAGGAGGAUGUUUCAAGCCCAGCCAGGAAGGCUGGCAGGUGCUGGGCCACCUCCUUGAGGUCUCCAGAACAGCUGGGGCUACGACUACCCAAAGCUAGGAUGGUAGGUCCAUAAGGUGAGGGCCCAAAGUAGGGAACAGUCUGAUGGGUUGGGGGAGUCUUGGAUGCUCAGAGGUACCCCAGCUCCCCACACUGUGUUUGGUGUUGCCCACAGUGUCCUCACCCUGACUCCUGGCCCUGGGAAUCCCAGGAUCCCAAGGUCCUUUACAUCCUGCGCAAUACACUCAGGGGCCCAUUUCAGGAAGCUGGAGCCCCUAAGAUGCAUGGGCUGGGGCAUCUCACCAAGAGGCCUCUCCAAAACCUUUGCAACUUGUCUGUUGGCUCUCCCAACUUGGAGUGCCACCAACAGGAGGGUGUCUCUUAUUUGCAUGCCAGUGUGUGCUUCAUGUGCAGGUCUGUACUCAGGUGUGUGCCACUGUUAGCCAGGACCCUAGUGUGACAGAGUCUCUCCCUGCCUCCUGAAGGAAGAGCAUGCUGAGGGCCAGCUGAGAUGGGGGUGGGGCAGUGACCAGAAAGAGUGUUUCCUGGGGGAGGGAAGGGAGAUACCCCCCCCCCCCCCCCGCCAUCCCCAGCACUGACCCGGGCACCGGGACACGAUGGGCCGGCCGGCCGCUCUCGCGCGCACACACACUCACAGACACAGGUUGAGGGAGGGGGAUCCAGGAGUCUCAGCCUUGUAUCACCCAGCUGGCCCUCUCCCUCACAUGCAUUCAGCCUUCUUUUCUGAAAAACGUGGAGUAUGUGCUGGGAUGUAUGCUACUCAUAACUCACCAUACACAAGGUUUCCCCCACGGGGACACACGCACCCUCACAAGCCAUGACAGGGUGACACACAGAGACGCACGCUGGCGGCCGGCUCCCAGGGCCCGCCCUCCUUCGGCGACUCGCCAGUGACACACACACUGCUGCCGCCUCCCGGCUCACACCCACAUCCCGGGAGGAGUCCUGCUCCCGCCGCGCUCCCCCGAGACCCGCGGCGCGGCGCUUCUGUGUUCUGCUCCCUCCGCCGCGCCUGGAAACCGCAGUGGGCCGGCCGGGAUGAGCUCACGCUGCCGCCGGCCGCCCAAGCCUAACGCGCUCCAGAUGCCCGGCGGCCGGACCUCGGAGCGCAGAGGACGGCCCUCUGGCGCCCCCUGCAGGGGUCAGCGGCCUCGAGAGGUGCUGGCGCGAGGACCGCUAUGGUCGCGGGCGGUGGGUGAGGGCUGCCCCCGGAAGGGGCGGGGCUUAGCACACCCGCCAGUUUUCUUGGGGCUGUGCCCGCUUGCUCUAGUUCGGAGCUGGUUUUGAGCUGCCGCGAAGGCUACCCUGUCUGCUCCGCGCGCUUUCCAGGUCCUGGCCCAGUGUUCCUCUGGGCGGCGGUCCCCUCCCUGGCCGCCCUCGCCAAAACCUCAGAUCCCACCUCCACCUCACCCCCAGUUCCCUGGACCCUCCACCAGGAAAGAACUGGAAAAUUUUAUUUGAGCCAACCUGAGGACAACCCAGGAGGAUAGUCUUUCAGAAGUCCUGAGGACUGUUCCAUCUGUUCAAGGUCAAGGCACAGUUUUGUAAGUUUUUGAGACAAAGGUUUAUACAUCAAAGUCACAUGACUGACAGUUUACAUUGUCCAACAAGCUUUGGAGAAACAAGCUGCUGUGAGUCCUACAGCCACAGGAAACGAAUUCACGCAACAACUGAUUAAGCUUGGAAACAAAUGCUUUUCCGGUUGAGUUGCCCAGUGGAUAAGAGCCCAGCCCUAGCUGACACCUUGAUUUCAGUCUUACAGAAGACCCAUGAAAUUCUCCACUACUGCUUCAGGAGGCUGAGCUAAGCAUUCUUCGCUAUGAGAAAUGUAAUGAGGUGCUCAAAGACAAGAUGGAAAGUCGCCUUGAUGUGGUCAAGAAGGGGGUUGUCUGUGGUACCAGCUCCAGAGGAAAGGAUUCCUGCCAGGGAGAUUCUGGGGGUCCCCUGGUCUGUGAAUUUAAUGACUCAUGGGUCCAAGUGGGGAUUGUGAGCUGGGGCAUUGGCUGUGGUCUCAGAGGGUAUCCAGGAAUUUAUACAGAAGUGAGUUUCUACAAGGAUUGGGUCAUUGCAAGAAUGAGUCAGGCUUCUCCUCUGGACUCAAAGGGCUUCUUCAGCAUACCUCUGUGUCUGGUGCUCCUGGACCUCCUGGCAACCCCUUGAUCCCUCCUGUUUCUGAGUCUCACACUAGUCUGGCCUCUGACUUCUCACCCCUACUCAAUGCCUGUAGCUCAAUUCCAUUUGAGAUCCACUGACCCUGUGGAGAUCCUCAUGACACAGAGUGGCAGCAAGAAAGAAACCCUGGAAGCUUCCCAGCCUGUGAUGCAGGAACCUGCCUCAUCUACGCCUACACCUCGGCUGUGGCUGCCUGCUGGGAAGGGGGGGUGAAACCCUCCCAGCUGGAUGGCCAUCAGCUUGACAGGUGCACAUGAUGCUUCAUCUGCAUCUUGGAGAACGUCUAGCGAAGAAGAGAUGUCAUCAAUGGUGAAAGAGACUUCAACCUGACACUUUAUCAACCUGGUCAGCUUGGUGGUGUUGGGAGUUGAGAAGGCAUCAGCAUGUCCACAUCUGGCUUGUUGUCUGGGCUGGGAGAAGGUCCUCUGCUCCCCAGUGCAGGUCCAUCUGUGAGUGCCCAGCCUCUGCCACACAAGCCCUCCUGGGCCAUUCAGUCUUGGAACCCCCUUCCCAGUGCUCCAGUGGCCACAUCCAGGAUCACCCCAAGUUGUGUUGAGGCAUUAAGGAGUGUGGAGAUUUCAGAUGUCCACUGAAUAAAUGCUUGGAGAGUC